CACGUAGGGUGCGAGCGUUUGUCCGGAAUUAUUGGGCGUAAAGAGCUCGUAGGCGGUGUGUCGCGUCGGCCGUGAAAACCUGCAGCUUAACUGUGGGCUUGCGGUCGAUACGGGCAUCACUGGAGUUCGGUAGGGGAGACUGGAAUUCCUGGUGUAGCGGUGAAAUGCGCAGAUAUCAGGAGGAACACCGGUGGCGAAGGCGGGUCUCUGGGCCGAAAUUGACGCUGAGGAGCGAAAGCGUGGGGAGCAAACAGG
rnacentral:rRNA from 1 species